rnacentral:rRNA from 1 species
CCUACGGGUGGCAGCAGUGGGGAAUUUUGCGCAAUGCUCGUAAGAGUGACGCAGCGACGCCGCGUGAAUGACGAAGGCCUUCGGGUCGUAAAGUUCUUUCGACAGGGAAGAAAAUGCCUAUAAGUAACUGUGUAUGUAUUGACGGUACCUGUAUAAGCAGCCCCGGCUAACUCCGUGCCAGCAGCCGCGGUAAUACGGAGGGGGCGAGCGUUGUUCGGAGUGACUGGGCGUAAAGAGCACGUAGGCGGUGUUGUAAGUCAUUAGUCAAAGACUAGAGCUCAACUUUAGUAAGGCUAGUGAUACUAUAAUACUAGAGUAUCAGAGAGGAUUGCAGAAUUCCUGGUGUAGCGGUGAAAUGCGUAGAUAUCAGGAGGAAUACCGUUAGCGAAGGCAGCCUACUAAACUGCCACUGACAUUGAUGCUCGAAAGUGUGGGUAUCAAACAGGAUUAGAUACCCGAGUAGUC